AGAACCCCUAGCUAUAUUCUAAAUGUUUAUACUCGUCCCCACAGAUAAGCCAGUUCUUGGUCCUUAUCAAGGAAUCGUCUCUCUGCACCAGAUCAUUACGGAAAAUCACAACUGGUCAGAAUGCAGAGAAGAGACUGUGAGGGGCCCAGCUCCAACUGGUAGACCUAUGACAGACUCCUGAAUCAAAACUCAUGGAGCCUCGUGGAAUAGGAAAUGGAAAGACUGCGAGAGUCACAGGGUCAGGGAGUCACCAUGAGAUCGUGCCUCCUAGAAACAUUAGAGAAGCUAUGCUCAAAGUUUCAUCGGGAUGGGUGCCUAAGCAACACCUGAUCAAGGAUGCCAACAAUAGACAUGCUGACAACUUAUGGGGCCCCAACCCUAGAAGAAGAACUGCAAGCCAGUGAGGCAUGUCAGUUCAUUCAAUUCAGCCCUGAAAUCAUAUACAUACAAGUAACAUUAUAUGAACUGAGCAGGUACAUUUAGGUAUGUAUACACACACACAUUUAAAAGGAGGCCAUGAGUUUUGAGGAGGAAAAUACACAGAGGGGGUUGGAUGAAGGAUACAGAAGUGGGAAAUGAUGUAACUUCAAAAGGCGAGAACAAAAUAAAGUACUUUUGAAACUGCUGGAGGGCAUCCGUCUGAGAAGACUCUUUGGGUACUGGUUUUAACCAGUGGUAAGUCUUCAUUAGCUGGCCAGCCCUCAGCCUUUCUUGGGGUAAAGUUUUAAAAGACAAAACCAUAACCUCACUUAGCAGAAACAGCUAGCCAGAAGUGGAACUACAGAAGGCGAGAAAGCAAGGUAGUACAUUUAGGGUCUUCCCCAGAACUAUGGGCUUCUUCAAUGAAUUGGGUUUCUGCCCUUGUUUUGGCAUCUCUGGCUGCCUGUAUGCCGGGUUCCAUGGCCCGAAUGAAGGGUAGUCCCAUCAUGAUGUCAGUUGUGUGGAAAGUCUGAGACCUACUCAAGAAACAAGACUUUACGGUGCAAUCUGAGCAUGUCCAGAGAUUCCGCUGCCUAUCACUUAUAUCUUCUACAUAUGCACCAUAAGUACUCCAUGACUUUGAGCUAAACAUGCCCCCAAACGUUUGUCUGCUCUUUUUUUAAGAAUUUGAUUUUUAAACUGAACACAUUCGAGAAUGGGCUGACCCCUUUGUGAAUAUAUAUAUAUAUAUAUAUAUAUAUAUAUAUAUAUAUAUAUAUAUAUAUUGCCCCUCCACAAUAAAAUCCUAUGCUUCCUCUGUUUGGAGAAGGUGUGACUUUUAAAAUUAUGUGUAUUGCCCGCUGCAGGCGAUGCAUUUUUUCCCUCCACUUUUCUAGGUCUUGGCUGUGCUUAUUUUGGCUUUGCACUCACCAAGAUGCAAACCUAUUGUGUCGAGUUUCAAGUAAUAAGCCACGUGGUGCUUGGGACGUGACCCUAGCCUUUGGCCCAGGGGAGUCUGGUUUGUGGGACUGGUCUGUGUCUUCUUUUUUCCCCUAUUGAGGGUGUGUGGAUGAGUGUUGGGAUUGCUGCUGCUUCAAAACCGCGUGCUUUCCUCCACAAUGCCCAUUUUUCCAAGUUACAAGAGCUUGGGGUGUUACGGAUUCUGCCUGCCUUGACGUCUAUGCCAUUAUCUGAGCUGCUUCUCCCUCCUCAUCCCCUCAAGGCCUCAGGAAGCACCCAAGUCCCCCCACCCCCGGAAUUUCUUUAGCCGGAAUCACCGUGCAUGGGACAUGAUUACUGGAAAUGUUGUGGAAACAAAGUGAAGAACAGCCAGCCUGCACAAGCACUGCAUAAAGCAGCUAAUGAAACGGAAUAAUCUCCUUUUCCUUUGGAAGCUGAGCCGGGGCAUGGAAUAUUGCUGGGAAUUAAGGCUCCCUCUGGACUGUCCAUCUACCCAAUACUUUGCUGAGAUACUCAGCUGAAAUCCUCAGCUCUCACAAGGCAGGGAGGAGUGACCGGCCCAUGUUGUGAGGGUGUGGGGCGGUUAACAAUUGAGGUGGGCUCCGUUACGUGUCCUACAGGUGUUCACGGACCUGUGGGCACAGGGCGGUGGCCUGCUGGGCUAUCCAGGUGGACAGUGCAUUCACUAGAUUUAAGGGAAGAUUAAGAGAAGGAGAAACUAAAGCAUAAAAGAGUUGAUAUAUUUGGGAGAGUGAGUAAAAAAAGAGAGAGAGAGAGAGGAGAAGCAAGGAGUCAUUGUGGGAGAAGGAGAAGCUGGAGACUUGGUAAAUAAAAGGUGCAAGGGAUAGAUGGUACCGGGCUUUGUAUGUUUAAGUGGGCAAUUAUAUCUUACCAAUUGGAUCU
rnacentral:lncRNA from 1 species